AGAACGAACGCUGGCGGCAUGCCUAACACAUGCAAGUCGAACGAGACCCCCGUCUUCGGAUGGCGGGUCUAGUGGCGCACGGGUGCGUAACGCGUGGGAAUCUGCCCUUAGGUUCGGAAUAACAGUUAGAAAUGACUGCUAAUACCGGAUAAUGACGUAAGUCCAAAGAUUUAUCGCCUAGGGAUGAGCCCGCGUAAGAUUAGCUAGUUGGUGGGGUAAAGGCCUACCAAGGCAACGAUCUUUAGCUGGUCUGAGAGGAUGAUCAGCCACACUGGGACUGAGACACGGCCCAGACUCCUACGGGAGGCAGCAGUGGGGAAUAUUGGACAAUGGGCGAAAGCCUGAUCCAGCAAUGCCGCGUGAGUGAUGAAGCCUUAGGGUUGUAAAGCUCUUUUACCCGGGAUGAUAAUGACAGUACCGGAGAAUAAGCUCCGGCUAACUCCGUGCCAGCAGCCGC
rnacentral:rRNA from 1 species